AACGGGUGAGGAACACGUGAGAAACCUGCCUUUCAUUCUGGGAUAACACCGGGAAACCGGUGCUAAUACCGGAUACUCCGUCUUGGCGGCAUCGCCGAGCCGGGAAAAAAUUUUGAUGAAAGAUGGUCUCGCGGCCUAUCAGCUAGUUGGUGAGGUAAUGGCUCACCAAGGCGACGACGGGUAGCCGGCCUGAGAGGGCGACCGGCCACACUGGGACUGAGACACGGCCCAGACUCCUACGGGAGGCAGCAGUAGGGAAUAUUGGGCAAUGGGCGCAAGCCUGACCCAGCGACGCCGCGUGAGGGAUGAAGGUCUUCGGAUUGUAAACCUCUUUCAGUAGGGAAGAAGCGAAAGUGACGGUACCUAAAGAAGAAGCACCGGCUAACUAUGUGCCAGCAGCCGCGGUAAUACAUAGGGUGCAAGCGUUGUCCGGAAUUAUUGGGCGUAAAGAGCUCGUAGGUCGUUUGUCGCGUCGAUUGUGAAAAUCUGAGGCCCAACCUCAGACCUGCAGUCGAUACGGGCAAACUAGAGUGUGGUAGGGGAGACUGGAAUUCCUGGUGUAGCGGUGGAAUGCGCAGAUAUCAGGAGGAACACCAAUGGCGAAGGCAGGUCUCUGGGCCAUAACUGACACUGAGGAGCGAAAGUGCGGGGAGCGAACAGGAUUAGAUACCCUGGUAGUCCGCACCGUAAACGGUGGGCACUAGUUGUGGGAACCUUCCACGGUUUCCGCGACGCAGCAAACGCAUUAAGUGCCCCGCCUGGGGAGUACGAUCGCAAGAUUAAAACUCAAAGGAAUUGACGGGGCCCCGCACAAGCAGCGGAGCAUGCGGCUUAAUUCGACGCAACGCGAAGAACCUUACCAAGGCUUGACAUAUAGCGAAAAGUGGCAGAGAUGUCAUGUCCGCAAGGGCGCUAUACAGGUGGUGCAUGGUUGUCGUCAGCUCGUGUCGUGAGAUGUUGGGUUAAGUCCCGCAACGAGCGCAACCCUCGUUCUGUGUUACCAGCAUUCAGUUGGGGACUCACAGGAGACUGCCGGGGUCAACUCGGAGGAAGGUGGGGAUGACGUCAAAUCAUCAUGCCCCUUAUGUCUUGGGCUGCACGCAUGCUACAAUGGCCGGUACA
rnacentral:rRNA from 1 species